rnacentral:rRNA from 1 species
CCUACGGGAGGCUGCAGUGGGGAAUAUUGGGCAAUGGGCGCAAGCCUGACCCAGCAAUGCCGCGUGAAGGAAGAAGGCUUUCGGGUUGUAAACUUCUUUGACAGGGGAAGAGCAGAAGACGGUACCCUGAAAACAAGCCACGUCUAACUACGUGCCAGCAGCCGCGGUAAUACGUAGGUGGCACGCGUUGUCCGGAUUUACUGGGUGUAAAGGGCGUCUAGCCGGGAAGGCAAGUCAGAUGUGAAAUCUGGAGGCUCAACCUCCAAAUUGCAGUUGAAACUGUUUUUCUUGAGUACUGGAGAGGCAGACGGAAUGCCUGGUGUAGCGGUGAAAUGCGUAGAUAUAAGGAGGAACACCAGUGGCGAAGGCGGUCUGCUGGACAGCAACUGACGGUGAGGCGCGAAAGCGUGGGGAGCAAACAGGAUUAGAUACCCCAGUAGUC